AACGGCCGUACCAUGCUGAAUAUACCGGUUCUCGUUAGAUCACCGAAGUCAAGCAGCAUUGGGCGCGGUCAGUACUUGGGAGGGUGACCACCUGGGAACACUGCGUGCCGUU
rnacentral:rRNA from 1 species